UGGUGAUGAUAAUGAUGAUGAUGAUGAUGAUGAUGAUGAUGAUCAUGAUGAUCAUGAUCAUCAUCAUCAUCAUUAUCAUCACCAUCAUCAUCAUCA
rnacentral:pre_miRNA from 1 species